CGUCUAUUAAUUGUAGACCAGUAUGAAAGGCAACAUGAGGGCCUAACUGUCUCUUGUAAUAAAUCAAUUAAACUGAUCUUCUAGUAAAAAAGCUAGAAUCUUUCCAUAAGACCAGAAGACCCUGUGAAGCUUAAACUAAACUAUUAAAACAUAUAAUAACUACUUUCGGUUGGGGCGACCCUGGAAAAAAAAAGAACUUCCAACAAUAACAUAUCAAACUACACAGGCCCACAAGCCACAUACCAGUGACCCAGCACAGCUGAUCAUUGAACCAAGUUACUCCAGGGAUAACAGCGCCAUCUUCUUUAAGAGCCCAUAUCAAAAAGAAGGUUUACGACCUCGAUGUUGGAUCAGGACAUCCUAAUGGCGCA
rnacentral:rRNA from 1 species